rnacentral:tRNA from 1 species
GGAGUUGUAGCUCAGUGGUAGAGUGUUUGCCUAACGUGUGAGAUAUUGGGUUUGAUCCUCAGCACCA